UACGCCCGAUCUCGUCCGAUCUCGGAAGCUAAGCAGGGUCGGGACUGGUUAGUACUUGGAUGGGAGACCGCCUGGGAAUACCAGGUGCUGUAAGCUU
rnacentral:rRNA from 1 species